GUACUGAUGAAGAGUCCCAAGACUGGACGAAACAGCUGUCCAGUAC
rnacentral:hammerhead_ribozyme from 1 species